rnacentral:lncRNA from 1 species
AUGGGUGGGCGUUCUAGGUUUCUUUUUCUAUGUUGGUGGUUUUCUUUGUUUCGGCCGUGUAUGGCUCUCAAUCAGGAACAGGUGUAGAUCGUUGUUGCUGAUUGAGAGUCAUACAUAGGCAGCCUGUUUUUCCUUUGGGGUUUGUGGGUGAAUGUUUUCUGUCUAGUGCUUUGUUAUUCCUGACAGAACUGUUUGGCUGUCAUUUUCGUGUUUUCUUUUGCAAGUGUUCAUUCGGUCAUUAAAAUCAUUUAAGAUGAACUCUGACGACGGCCGUUACACAGUAAGACCAAAAUUAUGGUGUUCCAAAAAAGGUCCAGUCGCCAGGACCCCAAAUACAAAUUCCGUCUAGCCCUGGAGCACACAAAAAACUAUACCUACCUUUGCCUGAACAUCAGCGCCACAGGUAACUUCCACAAAGCUGGGAACGAUUUGAGAGACAAGGCAAGACGGGCCUUCUAUGCCAUCAAAAGGAACAUAAAAUGUUACAUACCAAUUAGGAUCUGGCUAAAAAUACUUGAAUCAGUUAUAGAACUGAAUUCACAAAAAAACAGAGCAAACUAGAAUGCUAUUUGGCCCUAAACAGAGAAUACACAGUGGCAGAAUACCUGACCACUGUGACUGACUCAAACUUAAGGAAAGUUUUAACUAUGUACAGACUCAGUGAGCAUAGCCUUGUUGUUGAGAAAGGCCGCCGUAGGCAGACAUGGCUCUCAAGAGAUGACAGGCUAUGUGUUCACUGCCCACAAAAUGAGGUGGAAACUGAGCAGCACUUCCUAACCUCCUGCCAAAUGUAUGACCAUAUUAGAGACACAUAUUUCCCCCAGAUUACACAGAUCCACAAAGAAUUACCACAGUGUGCCAUCACAGCAGCAAGAUGUGUGACCUGUUGCCACAAGAACAGGUCAACCAGUGAAGAACAAACACCAUUGUAAAUACAACCCAUAAUUAUGUUUAUUUAUUUUCCCUUUUGUACUUCAACCAUUUGCACAUCGUUACAACACUCUAUAUAGACACAUAAUAUGACAUUUGUAAUGUCUUUAUUCUUGUGGAGUGUAAUGUUUACUGUUCAUUUUUAUUGUUCAUUUCACUUUUGUUUAUUGUCU